UAAAAUAUAAAUUAAUAAAUUAUUUAUUGAACAUUCGGUUUCAUCCUCCACAUUCAUUAAACAUUCUGAUGGCGAUAAAGUAAGUGUUUUUCUCGAUUGAUACCAGUUAGCUUAUAAAAUGUGCGUAUUACGUUUUCCACUAACUUAGGCUCGCUUGCGCGGAGAGCAAUUACAAUUUUAUUCAUCAGUUUCCAUUGUUGUUUUCAUCGGUUAAAAUUGUGUAAUUAACAAAAAGACAAUCCAGAACGAAGCCGGAUCUACUAACACUAUUUUGAAGCAUUUUUUGUUCGAAAAACAUCUUGAUAAAGUAAAGGAAAUUCUGCAACAAGCAGUUAGAGAUCUGCCGGAGCCGAUGGACUUGGAUUCGAAAAUCAUGGCCGACGUCGAUCUGAUAACGAAACAUGAUAAAAUGGAUGAUAGUAACGCCAAUUGUGACCCAUGUGAUAUUAGGGACCGAAUUAUGUGCAGUAUAGUGGACAAUAUGUAGAAAGUAUUUUUCUUUUUGUAAAAUUUCAGCAUGUAAAAAUCACCUGCACGUAUGCGUUUUUUUGUCCACAAAUAUCUAGAGGUCAUUUAACAAAUUUUAUUCCUGAUUUCGAUGUUACAAUUUGCUUUUGUUGUAAUUAAGAAACUCACAAACAAAGGGUGCUACUCUCUCGGGAGACACUUGAUGCACAUCAUGAUCUCCUUUCAUGUACACUA
rnacentral:lncRNA from 1 species